rnacentral:rRNA from 1 species
GUGGGGAAUAUUGGGCAAUGGGGGAAACCCUGACCCAGCAACGCCGCGUGAGGGAAGAAGGUUUUCGGAUUGUAAACCUCUGUCCUUGGUGAAGAAGAAAGUGACGGUAGCCAAGGAGGAAGCCCCGGCUAACUACGUGCCAGCAGCCGCGGUAAUACGUAGGGGGCGAGCGUUGUCCGGAAUGACUGGGCGUAAAGGGCGUGUAGGCGGCCGAUUAAGUCCGGAGUGAAAGUCCUGCUUGCAAGGUGGGAAUUGCUUUGGAAACUGGUUGGCUUGAGUGCGGAAGAGGUAAGUGGAAUUCCCAGUGUAGCGGUGAAAUGCGUAGAGAUUGGGAGGAACACCAGUGGCGAAGGCGACUUACUGGGCCGAAACUGACGCUGAGGCGCGAAAGCGUGGGGAGCGAACAGGAUUAGAAACCCUAGUAGUCC